rnacentral:rRNA from 1 species
AUGACCAACAACCUUUGGAUCACUAAUAUUGAUGGCACCAACGGUCUGUCCCUCGCGCAUAUCGAGCAGUUUGCUGACCUUUGGGAAAAUUUAUCUUCGGUAGCCCUAGUGGAAGAGGUGGAAGACUCGAUUAUUUGGAAGUUCACUAAGGAUGGGAUAUAUUCUGCUUCAUCGGCAUACAAGGCUCAAUUUGAAGGCCUGACAUCCUCUGAUCUUGUACAGUCCGUGUGGAGGGUGUGGGCUCCCCCGAGGUGCAAAUUCUUUGCUUGGCUGGUUCUUCAAAAUAGGAUCUAG